rnacentral:rRNA from 1 species
GGAUUAGUGGCGAACGGGUGAGUAACGCGUGAGUAACCUGCCUUACACAAGGGGAUAGCCUUUGGAAACGAAGAAUAAUACCCUAUAAAACCAUAAAAGCACAUGCAAUUAUGGUCAAAGUGAUAGCGGUGUAAGAUGGACUUGCGUCUGAUUAGCUAGUUGGUGAGAUAAAAGCCCACCAAGGCAACGAUCAGUAGCCGGCUUGAGAGAGUGUACGGCCACAUUGGGACUGAGACACGGCCCAGACUCC